rnacentral:snRNA from 1 species
AGAUGUGAAGGCAAUCUGGUUGUGACAUCUGUCACUCCACUGAUUGUCAGGUUGAUUUGGCUGAUCUGACUGGUUAGGCAGGUGUCCCCUUCCUCACUUACCACUCCAUGUGCAUCCCUCCCAAAGCUGUAUGCUCAGUUGAAAAGGAUGACCAACCCCAAUAGAGGAGGACAGGUCUUUGGUCAGGUAUACAAGUAGCUACACUCCCCUGCUAGAACCUCCAAACAAGCUCUCAAGAAAUGCCCAUUUUCUGGGGAGGAAUUCAAGCUGGCUGCAGAAAUUUGCAUAAGUAACAAGGAACUGAAUGU